rnacentral:rRNA from 1 species
GACGAACGCUGGCGGCGUGCCUAAUACAUGCCAGUUGAGCGCUGACGGUUUGUACUUGUACCCACUGGAUGAGCAGCGAACGGAUGAGUAACGCGUGGGGAAUCUGCCUUUUAGCGGGGGACAACAUUUGGAAACGAAUGCUACUACCGCAUAAAAACUUUAAACACAAGUUUUAAGGUUGAAAGAUGCAAUUGCAUCACUCAAAGAUGAUCCCGCGUUGGAUUAGCUAGUUGGUGAGGUAAACGCUCACCCAGGCGAAGAUACAUAGCCGGCCUGAAAGGGUGAUCGGCCACAAUGGGACUGGGAAACGGCCCAAACCCCUACGGGGGGCAACAGUAGGGAAACAUCGGCAAUGGACGAAAGUCUGACCGAACAACGCCGGGGGAGGGAAGAAGGUUUUCGGGUCGGAAAACUCUGUUGGUAGAGAAGAACGUUGGUGAGAGUGGAAAGCUCAUCAAGUGACGGUAACUACCCAGAAAGCGACGGCUAACUACGUG